rnacentral:lncRNA from 1 species
CCAGCCGCUUUUUACUCCUCCUUUUCUUAUUUUUCUUUCUCCCCUGUUAACAAAAUUGAACCUUUUCUUCAAUUCGGGGUUUCUAAUUGAAGUUUUUCUCCACUUGUGAAUUUAAAAUCUAGUUGUUGAUCACUCUCCUCCCGUUGCUUACUUGUUCAGUUGUUGAUUUCCUUCAAAUCAAAGGUAAGAACUAAGAAACGAUCUUGUGCGACAUUUUAACUUAUGAUUUCUUGACUAGUAACUAGAUAUACACUUAUCUUGUGCAACAUUGCUGAUUUGCUUUACACUUGACUUUGCAGUAUGUUUUUUUUCUACAUGUAAUUUUUUGUUGUCUCAUUUCACUACAGAUUAUUUGUUAAGUUCCUGGACCUAGAAUGGCGUCUAAAGGAGCACGGAAAGAUCCAUCAUGGAGACAUAGUGAAGAGAUAGAAGUACCCAUGGUGGCAAAAUCACUUACAAAUAUUUCAAGUGUAAAAUUUAUACCAAGUUCAU